rnacentral:rRNA from 1 species
GACGAACGCUGGCGGCGUGCUUAACACAUGCAAGUCGAGCGGAGAUAUAUGAAAGCUUGCUUUUAUGUAUCUUAGCGGCGGACGGGUGAGUAACGCGUGGGCAACCUGCCUUGUACUGGGGAAUAACACCGGGAAACUGGUGCUAAUACCGCAUAAUAUCACGGUGUGGCAUCAUGUUGUGAUCAAAGGAGCAAUCCGGUAUGAGAUGGGCCCGCGUCCGAUUAGCUAGUUGGUAGGGUAAUGGCCUACCAAGGCGACGAUCGGUAGCCGAACUGAGAGGUUGAUCGGCCACAUUGGGACUGAGACACGGCCCAGACUCCUACGGGAGGCAGCAGUGGGGAAUAUUGCGCAAUGGGGGAAACCCUGACGCAGCAACGCCGCGUGAAGGAUGAAGGCUUUCGGGUUGUAAACUUCUUUGAUGAGGGACGAUAAUGACGGUACCUCGAAAACAAGCCACGGCUAACUUCGUGCCAGCCGCCGCAGUAA